AGUUCAUCAUGGCUCAGAUUGAACGCUAUGAUGCUUUAUACAUGUGCAGUCGAAUGCAGCACGGACUCUGGCCUGGUGGCGAGUGGCGAACGGGUGAGGUCGAUUUUGAACGCCGUAGCGGGGAUUAACCACGCGAAAGCGUAGCUAAUACCGCAUACGUAGCCCUUCGGGGAAAGCGGGGGACCUUCGGCCUCGCACUAUUAGAGCGGCUGAGCACAUCGGAUUAGCUAGUUGCGGGGGUAACGGUCACCGUAUAUGACGACGUCCGCGGUAGCUUAACAGAGGACGACCGCCGUUACCGGGACUGAGACACGGCCCAUUCCCACGGGAGGCAGCAGUAAAUUGACAAUGGGGAAACCUGAUCCAGCCGCAUCCUGCGUGUGUUAAGCACGGCCUCUGGUUGUGCGCCACUUUUGGCAGUGAAACGGCACGGGAUAAUACCCUGUAACCUGACGGUACCUGCAGAAUAAGCACCGGCGUUAACUUACGCAGCAGCCGCGGUAAUACGUAGGGUGCAAGCGUUAAUCGGAAUUACUGCUAAAGCGUGCGCAGGCGGUUCGGAAAGAAAGAUGUGAAAUCAGAGCUUAACUUUGGAACUGCAUUUUUAACUACCGAGCUAGAGCGGUCAGAGGGAGAAUCGCGUGUAGCAGGAAAUGCGGGAGGCGGCGGAGGAACACCGAUGGCGAUGCAGCCUCCUGGUAUAACACUGACGCUCAUGCACGAAAGCGUGGGGACAAACAGACAGAUACCCUGAAGCUCCACGCCCGGGAAACGAUGUCAACCGGUCGUUGUUCUUCGGGCCUUGUAGCGCAGCCAACAUAGCUGACCGCCCAGUACGGUCGCAAGAUUAAACCCAAAGAUUGAUGGGAUCGCGCUAAAGCGGUGGAUGAAGUGGAUUAAUUGAUGCACGCGAAAACCUUACCUACUCCUUGAUAUGUCUGGAAUCCUGAAGAGAUUUGGGAGUGCUCGCAAGAGAACCGGAACACAGGUGCUGCAUGGCUGUCGUCAGCUCGUGUCGUGAGAUGUUGUUGUCCCUGCAACGAGUGCAACCUCUGUAUGCUACAGCAACGAAAGGGCACUGAAUGAGACUGUUAUGACAAACCGGAGGAAGGUGGGAUGGUCGCCGGUCCUCAUGGCCCUUAUGUGGGGCUUCACGCUGCGACAAUGGUCGGGACAGGUCGCCAACCCGCGAGGGGGAGCCAAUCCAGAAACCGAUUUGAAUCCGAUCGCAAGAACUUACUGCGUAGUCGGAAUCGCUAUAAUCGCGGAUCGCAUGUCGCGUGAAUAUGUUCCCGGGGUCUUGUACACACCGCCCGUCACACCAUGGGAGUGGGUUUGUACUGCAGGAAGUAGUUAGCUUCAACCGUAAGCAGCGGCGAUUACCACGGUAGGAUUCAUGACUGGGGGUGUCGUAAUAAGGUAA
rnacentral:rRNA from 1 species